rnacentral:rRNA from 1 species
GACAAACGCUGGCGGCAUGCCUAACACAUGCAAGUCGAACGGACAGAACAGGGAAGCUUUUCGGAGUGGAACUGGACAGUUAGUGGCGGAUGGGUGAGUAACGCGUGGACAACCUACCUUGUAAAGGGGAAUAACCUCGAGAAAUCGAAGCUAAUACCCCAUAAUAACCUUGCUUCGCAUGAAGUAAGGAGGAAAGGCGGCCUUAGCGCUGUCGAUACAAGCUGGGUCCGCGUCUGAUUAGCUAGUUGGUGAGGUAAAGGCUCACCAAGGCGACGAUCAGUAGCCGGCCUGAGAGGGUGAACGGCCACAUUGGGACUGAGACACGGCCCAAACUCCUGCGGGAGGCAGCAGUGGGGAAUCUUCCGCAAUGGGCGAAAGCCUGACGGAGCAAUGCCGCGUGAGUGAAGAAGGCCUUCGGGUUGUAAAACUCUGUCCUUAUCGAAGAGAGAGUGUUGUAGUAACUGACAAUACUAGGACGGUAGAUGAGGAGGAAGCCCCGGCUAACUAUGUG